GAUGAACGCUGGCGAGAUGCUUUACACAUGCAAGUCGUACGAGGUUUUAACUUAAGUGGCGGACGGUGAGUAACACGUAAGAAUUUGCCUUUAGGAGGGGGAUAACAACUGGAAACGGUUGCUAAUACCCCAUAUGCUUUCGAGUGAAAUGGAUUUUUUCCGCCUAGAGAGAAGCUUGCGGCUGAUUAGCUUGUUGGUAGGGUAAUGGCUUACCAAGGCGACGAUCAGUAUCUGGUUUGAGAGGAUGAUCAGACACACUGGAACUGAGACACGGUCCAG
rnacentral:rRNA from 1 species